AUGCUCCUUUUCUCCAUCGACUGAAACAAGUUCUAGACGUGCCCCGUAGUUUCUACUUCAGUUACACGUACGAUCUCACCACGCGUUUGCAGAACAUCGAAGCUCCGUUUCUUCCAUAUUCUUCUGAAAGCAUAUCGCCCGAUCCACGUUUUUUCUGGAAUUUGCUUGAUUCGAAAAUAUGGCUUGCCCAACUAAAUUAUAAACAGUUUGUAAUUCCCG